rnacentral:rRNA from 1 species
AGUGAACGCUGGCGGUAGGCCUAACACAUGCAAGUCGAACGGCAGCACAGUAAGAGCUUGCUCUUACGGGUGGCGAGUGGCGGACAGGUGAGGAAUACAUCGGAAUCUACUUUUUCGUGGGGGAUAACGUAGGGAAACUUACGCUAAUACCGCAUACGACCUACGGGUGAAAGCAGGGGAUCUUCGGACCUUGCGCGACUGAAUGAGCCGAUGUCGGAUUAGCUAGUUGGCGGGGUAAAGGCCCACCAAGGCGACGAUCCGUAGCUGGUCUGAGAGGAUGAUCAGCCACACUGGAACUGAGACACGGUCCAGACUCCUACGGGAGGCAGCAGUGGGGAAUAUUGGACAAUGGGCGCAAGCCUGAUCCAGCCAUACCGCGUGGGUGAAGAAGGCCUUCGGGUUGUAAAGCCCUUUUGUUGGGAAAGAAAAGCAGCAGGUUAAUACCCCGCUGUUCUGACGGUACCCAAAGAAUAAGCACCGGCUAACUUCGUG